GAGGGUAUAGCUCAGUGGUAGAGUGCAUGCCUAGCAUGCACGAGGUCCUGGGUUCAAUCCCCAAUACCUCCA
rnacentral:tRNA from 1 species